UCUUUUAAUUGAAGGCUGGUAUGAAUGGUUGGACAAAUAUUAACUGUUUCAUAAAUAUUUUAAUUAAAAUUUUAUUUUUUAGUUAAAAAGCUAAAAUUUAUUUAAAAGACGAGAAGACCCUAUAAAUCUUUAUAAUUUAAUUAUUAAGAAUUUUUAGAAUUGUUUUGUUAUAAUAAUAAAAAUUAUUUUAUUGGGGUGAUAUUAAAAUUUAAUUAACUUUUAAUUUAUUAAUUCAUUAAUUUAUGUAUAAUUGAUCCAUUAUUAAUGAUUAAAAAAAUAAGUUACUUUAGGGAUAACAGCGUAAUUUUUUUGGUGAGUUCAUAUCAAUAAAAAAGAUUGC
rnacentral:rRNA from 1 species